GGCAAGGUCCAUAGCUCAGGGGUAGAGCAUCUGCCUUGCAUGUGAAAGGUCCCUGGUUCGAUCCCCGACAGCCUCUCCA